AAAAAUGUACGUUGAAAAAGUAAAUUUAAGCUCAGAGAACGAAAAAAUAACAAGCUUAGAUUUUCAACCUAAUAGCAAUUUGAAUAGGCUAGCUAUUUCUAGCUUACAUCGAAUUAAAAUAUAUUGUGUUCCGUUUCGUGAAAAUUCAUUAAAGAAUGAUGCAAAAAUUGAGUUGUUAUUCAUAAGCAAUGAUCACAACUUAGUUUAUAUUAACACAGUCCGUUGGAGUUUUAAUGGCCAAUAUUUGGCUAGCUGCGAUAGUGGAGGUACACUAGUUUGUUAUGAACAGGACAUAAAUAGAAAUUCAAUAAAAAAAAAUAUACAACAAAUGACGAAUAAUGAUAAUAACAAUAAUUGCAAUAGUAAUAGCGAUUGCAAUAAUAAUAGUAAUAAUAGUAAUGAGUAUAACAUCAUAAGUAUGAAAAAUACAAAUGUAACUUCAUUAACACCGGCAAACUAUAACAAUAAAGAAGAAUGGAAAAUAACAAAAUGUAUAAAAAUACAUGAACAUGGUGAAAUAUUUGACCUUGCUUGGUCAUAUGAUAAUGAACAUGUUGUAUGUGGUGUUUCUAAAGGUAUAGUGUAUAUUUUUAAUCUUCAAAAAUCAUGCAUUUCACAUAAAUUAUUUGUAAAAGGAACAUCCGAAAAUAUAAAAGGAGUUUCAUUUCACCCAAAUAAUAAUUCGGUAAUAGCUCAAAGUAGUGAUAAUAUUAUGUGUUUGUGGAAAAAAGUAAAUAUUUAUUCUGAACAAAAUGAUAUAAAUUUGGGACAAAAUAAAAAAAAUUUUGGACAGGAUCAGCUACAACUUGAGCAAAGUAGACAACAAUAUGAACAAAGCAAAUUACAAUAUGAACAAAGCAAGCUACAAUACGAACAAAAAAAGUCAUUAUACGAACAAAACAAUCAGAUUUUAGGAAUGUCACCACCUCCAUUAUUAUCAUCACCAUUAUACGAAUGUUCCAACUCAGAUAGUAAUAUACAAAAAAAUAAAAAAUUAAUAAAAGAAUAUUUUGAAUAUAUAUAUGAAGAAGACAUGAAUAAAGAUUAUAAAAA
rnacentral:lncRNA from 1 species